rnacentral:rRNA from 1 species
AGCAGUAGCCGCGGUAAUACGAAGGGUGCAAGCGUUAAUCGGAAUUACUGGGCGUAAAGCGUGCGUAGGCGGUUUGUUAAGUCUGUUGUGAAAUCCCCGGGCUCAACCUGGGAAUGGCAAUGGAUACUGGCAAGCUAGAGUGUGUCAGAGGAUGGUGGAAUUCCCGGUGUAGCGGUGAAAUGCGUAGAGAUCGGGAGGAACAUCAGUGGCGAAGGCGGCCAUCUGGGACAACACUGACGCUGAGGCACGAAAGCGUGGGGAGCAAACAGGAUUAGAUACCCCGGUAGUCCCUGUCUCUUAUAC